rnacentral:rRNA from 1 species
AUUGAACGCUGGCGGCAUGCUUUACACAUGCAAGUCGAACGGUAACAGGCCGCAAGGUGCUGACGAGUGGCGAACGGGUGAGUAAUGCAUCGGAACGUGCCCAGUCGUGGGGGAUAACUACUCGAAAGAGUAGCUAAUACCGCAUACGAUCUAUGGAUGACAGCGGGGGACCGUAAGGCCUCGCGCGAUUGGAGCGGCCGAUGUCAGAUUAGGUAGUUGGUGGGGUAAAGGCUCACCAAGCCAACGAUCUGUAGCGGGUCUGAGAGGACGACCAGCCACACUGGGACUGAGACACGGCCCAGACUCCUACGGGAGGCAGCAGUGGGGAAUUUUGGACAAUGGGCGCAAGCCUGAUCCAGCAAUGCCGCGUGCAGGAAGAAGGCCUUCGGGUUGUAAACUGCUUUUGUACGGAACGAAACGGCUCUGGUUAAUACCCGGGGCUAAUGACGGUACCGUAAGAAUAAGCACCGGCUAACUACGUG